CGGACGGGUGAGUAACGCGUGGAAAACCUGCCGUAUACUGGGGGAUAACACUUAGAAAUAGGUGCUAAUACCGCAUAAGCGCACAGCUUCGCAUGAAGCGGUGUGAAAAACUCUGGUGGUAUACGAUGGUUCCGCGUCUGAUUAGCUAGUUGGUGGGGUAAUGGCCUACCAGGCAACGAUCAGUAGCCGGCCUGAGAGGGUGAACGGCCACAUUGGGACUGAGACACGGCCCAAACUCCUACGGAAGGCAGCAG
rnacentral:rRNA from 1 species